CCUACGGGAGGCAGCAGUGAGGAAUAUUGGACAAUGGGCGCGAGCCUGAACCAGCCAAGUAGCGUGAAGGAUGAAUGCCCUACGGGUUGUAAACUUCUUUUAUAAAGGAAUAAAGUGAGGCACGUGUGCCUUUUUGCAUGUACUUUAUGAAUAAGGAUCGGCUCACUCCGUGCCAGCAGCCGCGGUAAUACGGAGGAUCCGGGCGUUAUCCGGAUUUAUUGGGUUUAAAGGGAGCGUAGAUGGGUUGUUAAGUCAGUUGUGAAAGUUUGCGGCUCAACCGUAAAAUUGCUAUUGAUACUGGCAGCCUUGAGUACAGUUGAGGUAGGCGGAAUUCGUGGUGUAGCGGUGAAAUGCUUAGAUAUCACGAAGAACUCCGAUUGCGAAGGCAGCUUACUAAACUGCCACUGACAUUGAUGCUCGAAAGUGUGGGUAUCAAACAGGAUUAGAUACCCGGGUAGUC
rnacentral:rRNA from 1 species